rnacentral:rRNA from 1 species
AUAAUAAAUUAAUUCAUUUUAUUUAAUAAAAUAAAAUUACUUUAAAAUUUUUAAUAAAAAUCAUUUUAUAUAAUUUAAAUUUAAUUUUAUUAAUAUAUAAUUCAUUAAUUAUUAAUUAUUUUAUAUCUUGAUUUAAUUUAAUUUAAUAAAAUAAAUAUUAAAAUAAUUUUUUAAAAAUUAUUUUAUAUUAUAAUGAUAUAUAAAAAUUAAUUAAUUUAAUUUUAUAGUGCUUUAUCUAUUUAUUUAAUAAAUUCCCCUUAAAAAAUUAUUACUGCCAAAAUUCAAUAAUUUUAAUAAAUCUAUUUAAUAAUCUAAUUAAAAUUUAAAUUUAAAUAGUAGAGUAUCUAAUUCUAGUUUAUAAAUAAAUUUAAAUAUUUUAAAUUUAUAUUUAAUUAAUUAAUAAAAUUUUACCUAAAUUAAUUAAUAAAAUAAAAUUUAAUAAUUUAAUAAUAAAUUUAAAUUAUUUAAUUUAUAACUUAAGU